GAUGAAGAACGCAGCGAAAUGCGAUACUUGGUGUGAAUUGCAGAAUCCCGUGAACCAUCGAGUCUUUGAACGCAAGUUGCGCCCGAAGCCAUUAGGCCGAGGGCACGCCUGCCUGGGCGUCACACGUCGUUGCCCCCCCAUCUACUCCUUCGGGAUUGCGGGGGGCGGAUGAUGGCCUCCCGUGCGCCUCGCCGCGCGGUUGGCAUAAAUGCCAAGUCCUCGGCGACGCACGCCACGACAAUCGGUGGUUGCGAAACCUCGGUUGCCCGUCGUGUGCGGUCGUCGCGCAUCGAGGGCUCGAAAAAAUUGCCGGGUUCCGGCUCGGCUUUCAACGCGACCCCAGGUCAGGCGGGGUUACCUGCUGAAUUUAAGCAUAUCAAUAAGCGGAGGA
rnacentral:misc_RNA from 1 species